rnacentral:rRNA from 1 species
AUACGGAGGGUGCAAGCGUUACUCGGAAUCACUGGGCGUAAAGCGCGCGCAGGCGGUUUGAUAAGUUGGAUGUGAAAUCCUAUGGCUCAACCAUAGAACUGCAUCCAAAACUGUCAAACUAGAGUCUGGGAGAGGAAGAUGGAAUUAGUUGUGUAGGGGUAAAAUCCGUAGAGAUAACUAGGAAUACCAAAAGCGAAGGCGAUCUUCUGGAACGGUACUGACGCUGAGGCGCGAAAGCGUGGGGAGCAAACAGGAUUAGAUACCCCAGUAGUCC